GGGGGCGAUCGGUAUCGACGAGAUAUGAGACAUGUCGGACUGCACGCGGAGGAUGAAAGUUCCCUCCUUAAUCAUCUUUCAUACCUAUAGUUGCCGAUUACGGCUACAUGGCAGCAGCUUAGACUAUUGCCCGUUCCGGAUUGAAUACGCCUUUGGUUUAAUCUAGGAGCGUCACUUACAUAGGCUAGUCCCAAAUGUGUCUGCGAAUUUGGGACGAAAUUUAGCAGACUGGUCCUUCCAGAUUUUUGUUGCUGAUAAAUGGCAGGAUAAGAUUCCAAUCGGACGACUAAGCUUGUAGACGUCUUGCAUCACUCUAUUUCGGACGGGAGUUCGAUUCUCCCCGCCUCCACAC
rnacentral:tmRNA from 1 species